CCUCGGGGUAGGACCACUCGGGGGAGUAGUCAGUGACCAUGAAGAGCCGCCCUGUGGCCUGAAGCAUCCCCAGAGCCCCCUGGGCCACGGCUGCAGAAACCACCUCUGCUACAUUCAUGUAGGACAACGAGCCUGGCUCUCCCGCGUUCCCCCCAGCUCCGGCCCCUGCGCUCAGAGACUGGGGGCUGCAGCAGGGUUGGAGCUGUGGGAUGUGACUAGCUGGUGAGCGUACAGAGCCCCUCCGGCUGACAUGGUGGCUCCACUGCCAUCCACUGAGAUGAAGUCAUUGAUGAGGUCAGAGAACUGGUUACCAAAAGAGAUGUCGAAGUGAUCCAGACUGAUCUCCAUGCCCGUCCCUCCAGCUCCCCCGUUACUGGCCGCUCCUCCGAGGCCUUGGUGGCCCCCGACAGCGUUGUAGAGACCCGGGACCAUGCUCGUCCCUUGGAGGAGAGGCUGUAGCUGCUGCUGGGAGCGGUUGCCGCCGUCGCCGUUGCCGUUAUGGAUCGCUACUCCGUCUCCUGCACCUCCAGUCCCUCCUCCACCACCAUCCGAGCCCUGUUGCAGGUAGUGCUCCGCGCCCUCUCCGUUUCCCGCCCCACAGGCCUGGAUGUGGUCUACUGGCUUGAGUAGAUUCUCAGUUGCAUUCUCAGUGACUCCAGCCUGAGCUGAACUCACACUGCCUUGUUGCUCAAGACCCACCACCUCCUCGUGCGGAGCGCCCAGUCCAGGAAAGCCCCCCUGGUACUGUAGCAGCUGCAGAGAGCCAGCCUGGCCAGGCCCCUCUGUGGGUGAGCCUCCAUUACAGUUGGCCCUGUGCUGGUUCUGGUGGGCCUGGUGGGCCUGGUGCGCUUGGUGAUGGUGGUGGAGGUGUCCGUUGCUGCCGGGGGAGUCCGUCUUCACCACCUGCAGCCCCAUGUAAGCGCCAGAGUCGUGGGUGUUGUGCUCCAUCAAAUGUGAUUUCUGGCCCAUGCCGGGCCUCCCCUGCUGAGCCUGGCCGCUCUGAGAGGAGUCCUGGAGGAAGAAGCUGGGGGAGCGGUUCUGGUGUUGCAUGUGAGUACUGGACAUGGCCUGGCCGUAGCUCACUGCGGUAGCGCUGGAAGUGUAGUCCUGCUUGGCAUCUAUAGCACUGAAAUCCAUCUGUUCGAGCGUGGUGCUGGGACUCAGACCCCCACCAGAAGGCAGUAGGGAUCCUGCUGCUGUCAGAGUCAGGCUGCCAUGGCCUGAACCAGCACCAGACGACACAGACACCCCGCUGCCACAGUUCACCACCGGCGCCACCUGGUAGCCGCUCUCUUUGGCCAGCUGCUGCUCAAAUGACGUGUCUUCUAUCUUGAUGUUCUUCACCAAAGCCGAGCUGAAGGCGUAGCCGUUAUCUGACAUGGUGGGGGAGCGCUGCAGACUGCCGUUGGUGCAACUGCUUCCACCGGAGGAGGAUGACGUCGAGGAAGAGUUUCCCUCCGUCUUCAUUGCACUCCCUCCAUAGGUCUGGCCCUGCUUGGGGUUGUUCAGGAAGCAGUCGGGGUCAAAGUUCAUAUUGGUCUCAGGGAUCUUGAUGCUUCCAGCGUCCAGACUGCUGGAGAGCACCAGUUCCUCUGACACCCCGGCAGAAGACAGCAUGGACAGACUGUCUCCCGCCACGGCGCUCCCAGGUUCCCCUCCUGCUCCACCGGGGAAGGCAAAUUUGUGACGGUCAGACGCCACGGACAGCCCCAAGCCCUGGGAGGUGGCAUCCGCACCCAUCAGGUGGGUGUUGGGACCCCCGGUAGGAGACAUGCUGUAAACGGGGCCCCAGUGACCUCAGACAUAAAGACACCCUGGGACAGGCCAGACAUGACAGAGGCCACGUGGCUCAUCCCUGUCACCACGGGGCUGUCCGCCAUGUCUGGGUCGCUGUUGAGGCCACUGCUGAUGGACACAGGUGAGUUCUGCGUGGUGUCAGGAACCUCCACCUGGUUGGUGGACGACACCUCCGUGCUGUUCUGGUGCAGCAGGACCGGCUUGUGGACUUUGCCGUUGCGUUUCUCCCUGGCGCUCCCGCCUCCCCCGGAGCUCUUCCCCCCGCCAUGGGCGCUGUGCUCGGUCUUCCCCUCUGACACGUCGUUGUUCUGCACCUCAGAGUGAGCAGUGCUGUAGCCACCCGAGCGGGGGUCCACCUUUGGGGAGAUUAUGCGGUGUUUGGCGCUGUUGCAUUUGUGGUGCACACUGCUCCC
ensembl:lncRNA